rnacentral:rRNA from 1 species
AUCCGGAGGAUGCAAGCGUUAUCCGGAUUUAUUGGGUUUAAAGGGUGCGUAGGCUGUUCGGAAAGUCAGGGGUGAAAGCCCGGCGCCUAACGCCGGAACUGCGUUUGAUACUUCCGAGCUGGAAUACGGCUGCCGUGGGAGGAAUGAGUAGUGGAGCGGUGAAAUGCAUAGAUAUUACUCAGAACACCGAUUGCGAAGGCAUCUCACGAAUCCGUCAUUGACGCUGAGGCACGAAAGCGUGGGGAUCAAACAGGAUUAGAUACCCUGGUAGUCCACGCAGUAAACGAUGAUGACUAACCGUCGGCGAUACACAGUCGGUGGCCAAGCGAAAGCGAUAAGUCAUCCACCUGGGGAGUACGUUCGCAAGAAUGAAACUCAAAGGAAUUGACGGGG